CCCUCUGCUUUUCGAUGUUUUAUCUAUUGUUUCUUAUAUGUUUGAGCAGUUGCUAUUUAGUUUCUUAUUUUGGCAGAUUAGGUAAAAGGACUUUCAAUGCCAUGUUCUAAAUUUGGCUGUUUUUAUGCCUUAAAAGCAUGUGCAUAGCAAUGGCCGGGCAAGACCGUUGCCAGCCGCCGCGGUAACACCGGCGGCUGGAGUGGUAACCGUUAUUAUUGGGUUUAAAGGGUCUGUAGCCGGGCGGUUAAGUCUCUUGGGAAAUCUUGCAGCUUAACUGUCAGGCUUUCAGGGGAUACUGUCUGGCUCGGAGCCGGGAGAGGUGAGAGGUACUUCAGGGGUAGGGGUGAAAUCUUGUAAUCCUGGAGGACCACCAGUGGCGAAGGCGUCUCACCAGAACGGACCCGACGGCGAGGGACGAAAGCUAGGGGCACGAACCGGAUUAGAUACCCGGGUAGUCUGGCCGUACAUGGGUAGCGCUGGCUUAAAUGGGCUUGGACUAGGCAUGGGAUCGCUAGCACUGGCAGGGAGCGCAGGACUGGCAG
rnacentral:rRNA from 1 species